CCUAUGGGCGGCUGCAGUGAGGAAUAUUGGUCAAUGGGCGCGAGCCUGAACCAGCCACGUAGCGUGAAGGAUGACUGCCCUACGGGUUUAAAACUUCUUUUUUAAAGGAAUAAAGUGAGGCACGUGAGCAUUGUUGUACGUCCUUUAUGAAUAAGGAACGGCGAACACCGUGCCAGCAGCCGGAGUAAUACGGAGGAUCCGAGCGUUAUACGGAUUUAGUGGGUUUAAAGGGAGAGUAGAUGGGUUGUUAAGUCAGUUGUGAAAGUUUGCGGCUCAACCGUAAAAUUGCAAUUGAUACUGGCAGUCUUGAGUCCAGUUGAGGUAGGCGGAAUUCGUGGUGUAGCGGUGAAAUGCUUAGAUAUCACGAAGAACUCCGAUUGCGAAGGCAGCUUACUAAACUGCCACUGACAUUGAUGCUCGAAAGUGUGGGUAUCAAACAGGAUUAGAUACCCGAGUAGUC
rnacentral:rRNA from 1 species